rnacentral:rRNA from 1 species
AGCGGGAAGUAGUUUACUACUUUGCCGGCGAGCGGCGGACGGGUGAGUAAUGUCUGGGAAACUGCCUGAUGGAGGGGGAUAACUACUGGAAACGGUAGCUAAUACCGCAUAACGUCUUCGGACCAAAGUGGGGGACCUUCGGGCCUCACGCCAUCGGAUGUGCCCAGAUGGGAUUAGCUAGUAGGUGGGGUAAUGGCUCACCUAGGCGACGAUCCCUAGCUGGUCUGAGAGGAUGACCAGCCACACUGGAACUGAGACACGGUCCAGACUCCUACGGGAGGCAGCAGUGGGGAAUAUUGCACAAUGGGCGCAAGCCUGAUGCAGCCAUGCCGCGUGUGUGAAGAAGGCCUUCGGGUUGUAAAGCACUUUCAGCGAGGAGGAAGGCCAAUAACUUAAUACGUUGUUGGAUUGACGUUACUCGCAGAAGAAGCACCGGCUAACUCCGUGCCAGCAGCCGCGGUAAUACGGAGGGUGCAAGCGUUAAUCGGAAUUACUGGGCGUAAAGCGCACGCAGGCGGUUUGUUAAGUCAGAUGUGAAAUCCCCGCGCUUAACGUGGGAACUGCAUUUGAAACUGGCAAGCUAGAGUCUUGUAGAGGGGGGUAGAAUUCCAGGUGUAGCGGUGAAAUGCGUAGAGAUCUGGAGGAAUACCGGUGGCGAAGGCGGCCCCCUGGACAAAGACUGACGCUCAGGUGCGAAAGCGUGNGGAGCAAACA